rnacentral:rRNA from 1 species
GACGAACGCUGGCGGCGUGCUUAACACAUGCAAGUCGAACGGAAAGGCCCCUUUGGGGGUACUCGAGUGGCGAACGGGUGAGUAACACGUGAGUAACCUGCCCUUGACUUCGGGAUAACUUCAGUAAACUGGGGCUAAUACCGGAUAGGAAUCCUUGCUGCAUGGUGGGGGUUGGAAAGCUUUGGCGGUUUUGGGUGGACUCGCGGCUUAUCAGCUUGUUGGUGGGGUAGUGGCUUACCAAGGCUUUGACGGGUAGCCGGCCUGAGAGAGCGAGCGGCCACAUUGGGACUGAGAUACGGCACAGACGCCUACGGGAGGCAGCAGUGGGGAAUAUUGCACAAUGGGCGGAAGCCUGAUGCAGAAACGCCGCGGGCGGGAUGACGGCCUUCGGGUUGUAAAACGGUUUCAGCAGGGGCGAAGCUUGUGGUGACGGUACCUGCAGAAGAAGCACCGGCUAACUACGUG